CGCUCAUAAUCGACGACCCGGACGAGGCCGAGCUCGCGGUCGUCGUCAUCGUCACCGAUCCCGUGGCCACCGAGCCUCCCGCACCUCCUCUUGGUGCUCACCGGCUUCCCCUUCGUCGACUACCUCGACUACGAGCACUGACUCAUCGGAGUCGCUCCAAAUCCUCGCCAUCGAGCUCGACCACGCCGCCGGCUGCACCACUACCUCACCGCCGCGCUGCUCCUCCAGUCCGUCCCCGGCCUCCUCGACUACGUCCCCGAGUGUGCAGAUUGCCAUGAUGAGCUGCUGCUGUAGUGCUUUAUAAUUUUUUGGCCCCUUCCUAAAUGUUCGCAGCCUGAUAGUUCUGCACAAUUGGUAGGAGCAGCGAAUGUGCUCGUGGAAGCUCAUUACCUUGAUUAGGUAAAAUUGUUAUGAUUUUGUUUCAUAUAUGAAUAGCUAGAUGCACAGUGUUUUCGUAUCGUAUAUAUCAUUCUAGAUCUUGGACAAAGUACAUGCCUAUUUCCCUUUCUUCAGGUAGUAAAUCCAGGUUGAUUUCUAGACCCAUGAAGACCUAUGAUGUUAGAUGAAUCCUUCAGACUUUUAAUCGUGUGUUCUCUUCGCUCCUCUGCGCAGCAGCGACGGCGCCGCUCCUCCUCAUGGCCACGGGUGAAGCAGCAGCGGCGCCGCUCCUCCUCAUGGCCAUGGGUGAAGCAGCAGCGGCGCCGCUCCUCCUCAUGGCCACGGGUGAAGCAGCAGCGGCGCCGCUCCUCCUCAUGGCCAUGGGUGAAGCAGCAGCGGUGCCGCUCCUCCUCAUGGCCAUGGUCGCAUCCUCCUCACGCACCUCCUUUGCACGCGCUUCCCGCUUCCGCUUGCUCGUUCUCCGGGUGUUUUAGUCAGAACAGGCAGGGUGGAGAGGGCACAUAGAAGCUAGGCAGGCCACAGACAACAGUGUGUUGCAGUGAGGACAACAGUGAAUGACACUGGACGAAUUCGUCCUGGUCGAGCCCCCACCCAGAUGGCUACCUGCAGAGGAGAUGUCAAGGACAGCUCCCAGUUCAUGGCGGAGACACCAGCACAGAUAGGGUUUGGGUGGGGGUUGAUUCCUACCCUGAUGGCAGCAACCCUCCUUCCGCAACCUUGCCCGCCGAGUGCACUGAGUUGUUUUGCUGUACAAAGAGCCUCUCCUUUUCAAUGUACCAUGGUGUCCCUUUCCAUGCUAGCUCUAAACUUCUGCCCCCAUCAUUCCCAUGGUGUCUAAGAAAAUCAUAGGGAAGAGGCUCUAGGAGAGGGGGUUUGGUUUUACUUUUCUGGUUUUGCAACACGAUGCGACGAAUUUCUUUAUGUAUCAUGAUGUUUCUAUUUGUAUACUAAUGCAGUAAUGCUUAUUACAAAGCACAUUGAUACAAGUAUGAAGCUUUGCAGAUCUGUUCAAGCGAGUACUUUUUCUUUUAUGCACUUUUCUUUUACUUUCACUUACUCCUUUUGUCAUUUGAAACUGGUAGUGAACAUAUAAAGUAAUUCAAAUGGGGGCAAUUCUUCUGGUUUGUAUAUCUAUGUCAGCCCUUGCUUGAAAACCUAAAAAUUGACUUGCAUCCUAAUCAGACUACACUUUGUCUUCCUUAUUUCAUAGAACAAAGCAAUUGAAAUUGGAUAUAGAACAAGUCAAACAAUUGCACUUCAUAUAUUGUCUAGGGUGAGUAGAAUCUUACCAAUCCUAAUGGAAAUGACUAAUAUGUUUAUUUAUCUAGACCCACAUUUAAGACCAUAGGGAAGAUAUUUGAUAUUCAUAAUCUGCAUGUCUUACAGAUUCACUUAAUAAAAUAUUCAAAGUGCAAAGUAUCUAGGAGUUGGUAUCUUCUUGUAGCUUCAUGUGCUCAUAUCAAUUGGCUUUUUUCAAUUUUCAGGUACCUAAUAUGGCUAAAUGCGUAACGAAAAGGCCUGUCUUCCUAGCCUCCUAGAUCCAACAGUUGCACGAAUAAGCAAAGGAUAUUUGUUUUCAAAGGCUCUGUUACGAGUGAAAUGCGGCAAUGGAAGCAAGGAAUCACGGCUUACUUCUAUUCGGAUUCCAUAUCUACUAGGACAAUCCUGAUAUCCUUCUCAUCAUUUAUAUUUGAUUCCUUGGAGAUUCAUAAAGAAGGAAUGCAUCCACAAUACUGGUAUAAAAUUUGUUUGGAUGGUUCAGAAUCUUUAGAUGGCAUGGAUGAGACAUAAUUUGUUGUAUUUGGAUAUUUCUCAUGGUUACAGCAGUCUUGCUCCUUCGGCCCUUCAACAACAGUUCACCGAUUAGUUUAUCAGUCGGCGGCAGCAGCAGUGGUCCGCAGCACGGCAGCAGGCAACACGAGCGGAGAAGGUAGUGAGGGAAGGAGAAGAAGCAGCAAACAUCAGCAGACACCCCACACCACACCCGUCAUGGCGGCCUGGAGGGCCCUCGCUACGGAGGGCAGCGGAAGUUGGCAAGGCCGGCGGCCAGCGGUUGGCAGCAGCGAGAAGCGAGUGAAAGACCUGGUUGAUUUGGGAAAAGGAGGAGAACAAAGGACUGGUGGAUUUAGGGAAAGAAGAACAGAUAAGGUUUGGUAGAUUUUUUUUGUGAAAGGAUAAGGUUUGGUAGAUUUGGGGGAAAGGAGGAGAAGAGACGAGCGUGCGUGGCAGCAGGUAGUCGGUGUAUUGGACUCGGAUAUAUUUGGGCUGGGCCAAAUGCUUAUUGUAAACUUAAUUAUCCUUUUCAUUUCUGAAAGGGUGGGUCGUGGCACCCUUUGGCCCAGAUAAGGCUGCCCUGCA